ensembl:lncRNA
AGUGAACUUCCCGAUCUCAAGACGGCAGGAAAUCUAGAGCAGGUAGAGCUGAUUGAUAAGAUCCUUAGUGCUAUGUUGAAUGAAGUACAAGUGAUUGACAUUGAAACAGAAACAGACAGGUCACAAAGCCCUGGAUUGCCAUUGUCACACUCCUCAGUAUCAUUUCACUCAGAAAUAGAUGACCAAACCAAACUCACCGGUACUGCUGUUCUCCCUGAAGUGUUUAUCGAAAGGAUUUCCCCUCUUCUGACGCAUACUUUUGUUGACAUGGAUGCUGCUUCAUUGUCUCCUGGAUGUGUAAAUGAAACCAUCAGUAGUGUGUUAGACACCAUCUUAGAAUGGGAAAAAUGUGUACCCAUCACUGGAAGACUGGAGAAAUUGAUCACUGAAACACAAAUAGGUCAAUAUUCCUAUGAUAUUGCAGAUCGAGUACAUAAAACACUAAAAGGUUAUCAUGGUCUCCAGACCAUUUCCGUGCCAGUUGGAAAGAGUCUUUCAGAUUCUAUGCUUUGCAAAUUAACAUCUAGAGCUGAGGGAAAGAAUGAAAUUCCAUCAGAGUUCGUUUACAGUUAUGUAGAGGAGGCUGUGAAGCGACUACUCCUGUCAUGUUUGUUCCCCUCAGCAUCUUCUGAGAAUCAAGAACGUUUACAGAAUAAUCUAGAGACCUCAAAAUCAUCACCUGAGGUGUUUGGAAGUACAAUGAACGUAUUCACACAAGUGAUGACCAACGAAGUCAUGGUGGCACUCUCCACAGAGUCAAAGAAAAAUGUUUCUUCUGACUUGAAGGAAUUAGUUAAGGAGGAUCAGAAACUCUUAGACAAACGGGCACAGGACACUAAAACUAGAUCAUCCACCACUAACUCAAACAAUCUGCCCCCUCGUACUUUUGACGAACAUACAGAUUUGAUGCAAAAUAGUCAGUGUGAAGGAGUCGCCAGUUCAUGUCACCUACGUCUGUUAGAGUCCAACAAGAAAGACUUUGCCUCCUUGGUCUCCAUGCUGGUCAUUCGACUCCUGAAGAAAGUCAAUAGCUUACAAAAGGACAUUGGCACCCACCAGGAUGGACUUCCAGAUAAUGUGCUGGAUAUGUCCAGAGACUUGAUUCAGAAGAUUCUGUCUGAGCUCAAUACAGCGUUUGGCAUGACAGGCGAUGAAACCUAUCCUAAGGAUGUGAAUUUUCACCAGAUUUACAGAAACGUUUACAAAGAACUUACUCGACAGUUUGGGUCUGAAGAUGUGCUCCGUUUUGCCCUUGAAUCACAAGAUCAAUCUUUUGAAUCAUCACUGGUAGAAACGCUAACAAAAGAGAUAACAAAGACUUGUAGCCAAACCAGCAUACCAGCUUCUACACAUCUCCCUCCAAUUCAACCUACAGUUGGACAAGACCAAGGAAAGGAAAAGACCAGGAACAAAAUGUUUCCAGUUUGGCUCAAGAUGCCAACAAUCAAAUCGAAGAAACCAAAGAGAGGAUCACAGAGUCUCCUUGUAAGCCAGGCCUCUCCUGUUGCAAACACUAAGCUCAGUGAGACGCUGGCUCAGGUCACCAAGGCUCCUGUAUCUGCUGGCCCACUGGAGAUGCCACAGGAGGAAGAGACCGUAGGGUGCUGUUUCUUCAGGAUGCCGAAAUUUAAGUUCUCCUUCAAGGUGGAGUUUAGUUUCUAUAUGAGAUGUUAUUGUAAUUUUAGACAUUAUGUGUACUAAUGCUGAUCAGAGAGGCUACUGAGUGAAGAACACAUUGGUGUAACAUGAUCUGUGAGUAUGCAGUUUAGAUAUUUAUUUAUUCAUUACAAUUUGAAUCUGAAAUGAUUUAAUCUCUCUCUUACUUUAUCAGAAAAUAAGGAAAGGUGCUAAAAUUGGCCAUUGUGACGAUGAUAAGUCCUUUGAAGAGAACAUCAAUGUCUCAGCCUGUGCAACAUCUUGUCAGACUCGGUUCAAUGAGGCUACUGCUGAACUGACUGCUUCUGAGAGCCAAACUAAACUGGAAGAGACUGCAUCUAGACUGACCAACACAUCUACUCCAAAGAUGGGACUGUCUCACCUAGCUGUUUAAGUCACCGACACAGCUCAAUGAUCCUUUGAAUCAUCGGAUCCUCUAAGAACUCUUCGGUCCUUUCAACUACAUUUUUUUGAACCCCAAUCUGGCUAUUUUAAUUAAACGUAUUAUUGCAUGCAUAUUGGUGUAACUUUGCCAUUUGUUGGGUACUAUAGGGAUGACUACAUACAGUGGCGCUGGGAAGCUUGUGAAUCUGUUGGAGGUUCUUGAAAGUUCUUGAACAACAGCUUUUAGUUGAUUUUAAUCUCAUAUUAAAAUAUCAAAUCAUAUGAAUCUAACUG